rnacentral:rRNA from 2 species
GAUUGACCUCGGAUCAGGUAGGGAUACCCGCUGAACUUAAGCAUAUCAAUA